UGAGCAAUCUGCCCUUCUCAUCGGAAUAAGCGUUGGAAACGACGUCUAAUGCCGAAUACGACCUCCUUUCGCAUGAUCGGAGGUGGAAAGCUCCGGCGGAGAAGGAUGAGCUCGCGGCCUAUCAGCUAGUUGGUGUGGGUAAUGGCCCACCAAGGCGUCGACGGGUAGCCGGCCUGAGGGGUGACCGGCCACACUGGGACUGAGACACGGCCCAGACUCCUACGGGAGGNAGCG
rnacentral:rRNA from 1 species